AGGAGGAGGAGGAGGAGAUAGAGCGUGAGUGACAUUUGAACAUUUAUAAAAAGUGCGUUCAGAUGGUUCGCAUUGGGUCUAUAAAAAGCCGAAUCAAGAAAAGAAAUCCGGGCUGGCAAACAAGAAUAGGCCGAUGAAGGCAAGUUGCAAGAAGCCGGUUGGAAGGCUUAGAGAGGUGGAACAAAUUCCUAAGAGGAUCAUGCCAAUGAGCUCUUAUGCAAAGGAAACCUUCUCCCCUUGUAAGAGCAAGGUUUAGGAGAAAAUAUAAUUUUCUAUUUAAGAAAUAUCUUCCUGAUGAAAUAAAGGAAGAACAGAAGAAAUUAGACAAAUCCAAGGAUCCAUAUGCCUGCAACAGAUUUAAACGCAGCAUAGUUUGGAUGGUAAGUGCCCAACCCUUUUGGA